rnacentral:rRNA from 1 species
GAUGAACGCUGGCGGCGUGCUUAACACAUGCAAGUCGAACGAAGCGCUUGAAACGGAUUCUUCGGAUGAAGUUUCCCGUGACUGAGCGGCGGACGGGUGAGUAACGCGUGGGUAACCUGCCUCAUACAGGGGGAUAACAGUUAGAAAUGGCUGCUAAUACCGCAUAAGCGCACGGCAUCGCAUGAUGCAGUGUGAAAAACUCCGGUGGUAUGAGAUGGACCCGCGUUGGAUUAGCUAGUUGGCAGGGUAACGGCCUACCAAGGCGACGAUCCGUAGCCGGCCUGAGAGGGUGGACGGCCACAUUGGGACUGAGACACGGCCCAGACUCCUACGGGAGGCAGCAGUGGGGAAUAUUGCACAAUGGGGGAAACCCUGAUGCAGCGACGCCGCGUGAGCGAAGAAGUAUUUCGGUAUGUAAAGCUCUAUCAGCAGGGAAGAAAAUGACGGUACCUGACUAAGAAGCCCCGGCUAACUACGUGCCAGCCGCCGCCGUAA